rnacentral:rRNA from 1 species
GGGCCCGCACAAGCGGUGGAGCAUGUGGUUUAAUUCGAUGCAACGCGAAAAACCUUACCUAUCCUUGACAUCCUGAGAAUCUCUUAGAAGUAAGAGAGUGCCUUCGGGAACUCGGUGACAGGUGCUGCAUGGCUGUCGUCAGCUCGUGUCGUGAGAUGUAGGGUUAAGUCCCAUAACGAGCGCAACCCCUAUCCUUACUUGCCAGCACGUAAUGGUGGGAACUUUAAGGAGACUGCCGGUGUUAAACCGGAGGAAGGUGGGGAUGAUGUCAAGUCAGCAUGGCCCUUACGGAUAGGGCUACACACGUGCUACAAUGGGCAGUACAAAGGGCAGCAAGUUCGCGAGGACAAGCAAAUCCCAAUAAACCGUGGCUCAGUUCAGAUCGUAGGCUGCAACUCGCCUACGUGAAGGCGGAAUCGCUAGUAAUCG